AGAAUCAACGCUGGCGGCGUGCCUAACACAUGCAAGUCGAACGAGAAAGGGUAGCAAUACCUGAGUAAAGUGGCGCACGGGUGAGUAACACGUGACUAACCUACCUGGAGUGGGGGAUAACUGAGGAAACCUUAGCUAAUACCGCAUAACACCUACGGGUCAAAGGAGCAAUUCGCUUCAGGAGGGGGUCGCGGCCGAUUAGUUAGUUGGCGGGGUAAUGGCCCACCAAGACAGUGAUCGGUAUCCGG
rnacentral:rRNA from 1 species